rnacentral:rRNA from 1 species
GGGGACAACAUUUGGAAACGAAUGCUAAUACCGCAUAACAACUUUAAACACAAGUUUUAAGUUUGAAAGAUGCAAUUGCAUCACUCAAAGAUGAUCCCGCGUUGUAUUAGCUAGUUGGUGAGGUAAAGGCUCACCAAGGCGAUGAUACAUAGCCGACCUGAGAGGGUGAUCGGCCACAUUGGGACUGAGACACGGCCCAAACUCCUACGGGAGGCAGCAGUAGGGAAUCUUCGGCAAUGGACGAAAGUCUGACCGAGCAACGCCGCGUGAGUGAAGAAGGUUUUCGGAUCGUAAAACUCUGUUGGUAGAGAAGAACGUUGGUGAGAGUGGAAAGCUCAUCAAGUGACGGUAACUACCCAGAAAGGGACGGCUAACUACGUGCCAGCAGCCGCGGUAAUACGUAGGUCCCGAGCGUUGUCCGGAUUUAUUGGGCGUAAAGCGAGCGCAGGUGGUUUAUUAAGUCUGGUGUAAAAGGCAGUGGCUCAACCAUUGUAUGCAUUGGAAACUGGUAGACUUGAGUGCAGGAGAGGAGAGUGGAAUUCCAUGUGUAGCGGUGAAAUGCGUAGAUAUAUGGAGGAACACCGGUGGCGAAAGCGGCUCUCUGGCCUGUAACUGACACUGAGGCUCGAAAGCGUGGGGAGCAAACAGGAUUAGAUACCCUGGUAGUCCACGCCGUAAACGAUGAGUGCUAGAUGUAGGGAGCUAUAAGUUCUCUGUAUCGCAGCUAACGCAAU